rnacentral:rRNA from 1 species
CACACCGCCCGUCACAUCAUGAAAGCUGGUGGUACUAGAAGUCCCCAGGCUAACCUUCACGGGAAGCAGGGGCCCAAGGUAUGACUGGUGAUUGGGGUG